AGGCCAUGAUGGGGACACUUGCGUAAUAGCUCCUUGAACCUUUCCCAUGUUUCAUAUAAGGAUUCCUCGUCCUCUUGUGAGUAUGUAUUAAUUUCAGCCAUUAAUUU
rnacentral:snoRNA from 2 species